UCCCUGGUGGUCCAAUGGCUAAGACUCCUCACUCUCAAAUGCAUGGGGCCCAGGUUCAAUUCCUGGUCAGGGAA
rnacentral:tRNA from 1 species